ACAAUAACGGUUCUCGUAUGACCUCCGAAGUUAAGGUACGUUGAACCUGGACAGUACCUAGAUGGGUCACCGCUUUGGAAUACCAGGUGCCGUAAG